AUUGAACGCUGGCGGCAGGCCUAACACAUGCAAGUCGAGCGAGCGGCGGACGUGUGAGUAAUGUAUGUGAAACUGCCUGAUGGAGGGGGAUAACUACUGGAAACGGUAGCUAUUACCGCAUACCUUCAGCUGGACCCAGAUGGGAUUAGCUGGUAGGUGGGGUAAUGGCUCACCUAGGCGACGAUCCCUAGCUGGUCUGAGAGGGUGACCAGCCACACGGGGACGGGGACACGGCCCAGACUCCUACGGGGGGCAGCAGUGGGGAUUAUGGCACAAUGGGCGAAAGCCUGAUGCAGCCAGGCCGCGUGUGUGAAGAAGGCCUUCGGGUUGUAAAGCACUUUGAGCGAGGAGGCGUUACCCACAGAAGAAGCACCGGCUAACUCCGUGCCAGCAGCCGCGGUAAUAC
rnacentral:rRNA from 1 species